rnacentral:lncRNA from 7 species
GGCAGGAGGACCCACAACAGCUGCUGAGAGGAAAACCCAGGAUUGCUCACAGCACAUGUGGUCUGAUUCUUCCUCGUCAGCGUAUUGUUGUUCUCUCUCCAGAGAAUUACAAUACAGACACAAGAAAAUUAAUUCCUGUCAUAGAAGGAGACAAGAAUUAUGAGGAACAAAAUGAAAAUGCUUGCACGUAUUACAGAAAACAGGACAUAAUAGGACAGAUUGUUCAAAGUUCAUAGUUCAAGAAUAUGCCAACGUUAGUUAAAUCCAAACUUUAAGUAUGAAGAUAUAACACCUGUGAAAAUCUUGCAUAUGUAUUACAAAAUGCAGCUUUUAUCUUAAGAAUGUCUUUAACUCUCUGUGGUGUGCGAGUUAUUGUUAGUAAAACUGAAAGAUCAUAUACUUACAGCUCAGAUGUUCAUUGUGUAUUGAAUAGCACAGGGAUUGUUGCAUACUGGAAAAACAAAACAAAAAAAAGAAUAUUACAUAAAAACAGUGAAAGCAAGUGUAACUCACAUAUCAGAUAACAUAAUUAAAAAUAACAAUAAUUGGCAAGGCCAGU